rnacentral:rRNA from 2 species
UUCCCCGGGUGUUGCAGCCCGGGGGGCCCGA